UGGGGAAUCUUGCACAAUGGGGGCAACCCUGAUGCAGCGACGCCGCGUGAGCGAUGAAGCCCUUCGGGGUGUAAAGCUCUUUCGGCAGGGAAGAUAAUGACGGUACCUGCAGAAGCAGCUGCGGCUAACUACGUGCCAGCAGCCGCGGUAAUACGUAGGCAGCGAGCGUUGUUCGGAGUUACUGGGCGUAAAGGGUGUGUAGGCGGUUGUUUAAGUUUGGUGUGAAAUCUCCCGGCUCAACUGGGAGGGUGCGCCGAAUACUGAAUGACUAGAGUGCGGGAGAGGAAAGUGGAAUUCCUGGUGUAGCGGUGAAAUGCGUAGAUAUCAGGAGGAACACCGGUGGUGUAGACGGCUUUCUGGACCGUAACUGACGCUGAGACACGAAAGCGUGGGUAGCAAACA
rnacentral:rRNA from 1 species